UACGUAGGGUGCGAGCGUUGUCCGGAAUUAUUGGGCGUAAAGAGCUUGUAGGCGGUCUGUCGCGUCUGCUGUGAAAAUCCGGGGCUCAACCCCGGACUUGCAGUGGGUACGGGCAGACUAGAGUGUGGUAGGGGGAGACUGGAAUUCCUGGUGUAGUGGUGAAAUGCGCAGAUAUCAGGAGGAACACCGAUGGCGAAGGCAGGUCUCUGGGCCACUACUGACGCUGAGAAGCGAAAGCAUGGGGGAGCGAACAGG
rnacentral:rRNA from 1 species